GACGAACGCUGGCGGCGUGCUUAACACAUGCAAGUCGAACGGAAAGGCCCUGCUUUUGUGGGGUGCUCGAGUGGCGAACGGGUGAGUAACACGUGAGUAACCUGCCCUUGACUUUGGGAUAACUUCAGGAAACUGGGGCUAAUACCGGAUAGGAGCUCCUGCUGCAUGGUGGGGGUUGGAAAGUUUCGGCGGUUGGGGAUGGACUCGCGGCUUAUCAGCUUGUUGGUGGGGUAGUGGCUUACCAAGGCUUUGACGGGUAGCCGGCCUGAGAGGGUGACCGGCCACAUUGGGACUGAGAUACGGCCCAGACUCCUACGGGCGGCAGCAGUGGGGAAUAUUGCACGAUGGGCGGAAGCCUGAUGCAGCAACGCCGCGUGCGGGAUGACGGCCUUCGGGUUGUAACCCGCUUUCGCCUGUGACGAAGCGUGAGUGACGGUAAUGGGUAAAGAAGCACCGGCUAACUACGUG
rnacentral:rRNA from 1 species